GACGAACGCUGGCGGCGUGCUUAACACAUGCAAGUCGAACGGAAAGGCCCUGCUUUUGUGGGGUGCUCGAGUGGCGAACGGGUGAGUAACACGUGAGUAACCUGCCCUUGACUUUGGGAUAACUUCAGGAAACUGGGGCUAAUACCGGAUAGGAGCUCCUGCUGCAUGGUGGGGGUUGGAAAGUUUCGGCGGUUGGGGAUGGACUCGCGGCUUAUCAGCUUGUUGGUGGGGUAGUGGCUUACCAAGGCUUUGACGGGUAGCCGGCCUGAGAGGGUGACCGGCCACAUGGGGACGGAGAGACGGCCGAGAGUCCGCAGGGACGCAGCAGCGGGGACGAGUGCACAAUGGGCGGAAGCCUGAUGCAGCAACGCCGGGGGGGGGAUGACGGCCUUCGGGGGGUAAACCGCUGCCGCCUGUGACGAAGCGUGAGGGACGGGAAUGGGUAAAGAAACAGCGGCCAACUACGU
rnacentral:rRNA from 1 species